GGCUCUGGGAAUAAUGUGCUUUCGGUUUUUUCUCUGAAAAUCACAGUAGAAUAUCUCUUUAGUUGUGGCUACCACUCUAUUUCUGACUUUUUUGGACAAGCAAAGCAGUCUUUAUUACAAGAUUUGCUAAACAAUCUGCUGUAUGCUAGUUGACUCAUUUGCAUAAUUCACCAGAGCAUGGUAUCAUCACAAUGAUGUAUUAUGAUAAUGAAUAUUCAUUGUCAGACACUUGAAACUACAAAAAUCAGGAAACUGCUGAAAUGACACCACAGCAAGAGCAACUUCUAGAUAGCAUGUGCAUGUGCGUUUCACCACAGCGAAUCACGCACAUUGUAACCUUCUACCGCUUGGAUAGGCCAGGGAACAUUUUAAAUAAAAAUUUUGUAGAAGGCUGAACAUUGCAAAGAUUUCAGCAAACUGGUAGACUCAUCCAGCUCAGCUCAAUGGCUAUAAUGCUUUCUUGUUGUGUGCUCGUUAAUUCUACUGAAUGAAAUUCCAUUGCACCUCUGCAACAAGUGGACCAGCCCUGCUUGGCUGAAUGGCGAAUUUUGCUUCCUCUACUGAAUGAAUUUGGCAACUGGUGAUUUGGCAAUUGAAGCUUUCUAUUUAGAUUCUUUGCAAUUUGUUAUUGUAUUGGAAAUAUUUUGAAUAAAUAAAUAUUCAUUAUUGUAUUGGAAAUAUUUUGAAUAAAUAAAUAUUCAUUGCAUUGUAAUUCAGUAUUGUUU